rnacentral:lncRNA from 1 species
GAUGAUGACGACGACGAUGAUUGAUAACUAAUAAUUAAGGCUACUAGAUGAUCGUUGAGAUGUUUCUUCUUCUUCUUCUUCCUCCUCCUCUUGCCGCUGUUCAUAUAGCUGGAUGGAUCAGGACUUGUGCUGAUCGGUCGAUGGAUUCCAUCCAUGUGUACUCGUCUGCUGUUCUUUCCUUCCCAAUUCCCAUGUUCCAAUGGAGUCUGGAUUCAUUAACAUGCUUUCUCCUUUCUGACCAUCACAUCCACACGGAUCACAUUGCGUGUGUCUACUGCUUCGCUGCUUUUUACACAAUCGAGAUUAGCAUUGGGUACUACAGGGCUACAGAGGAAAUUGCCAGGACCACCCCCCAAGUCGUUCUUGAACAGUGGCGGAAGUUUCGGUUGACCUUGUGCCCUGACUGAGUCCCUGACUGACCCUGAUGCGCACAACCAACCAAGAGGAAAUGGAGGCGACACAGAAGCACUUGUCUGGUCAAAGCCUCAAGCGUGCGUUAGCAGACAGUGGCAGCGGCAGCGAGCGGGACCGCGUCACCGCGCAGCCGCAAGAGUGCUUCUCGCGGGCGAAACCAAGCAGGGGAGACGGACGUGUGAGUGACUCGGUGAGUGCUUCUCGCUUUUCUCAGUGUGUUCACUCGGUCCGCACCGCACCAGCGUCGUCGCUACGAAAAGGAACGGAAGCCGGCCCCUGUUUCGUUUCGUCGCCCUUUUGUUCGCACUGACGAGAUGAGUCACGUGUAAGUACAGUCCAGCACGUCGUAGUAAGCUGGAACGGGAGCUUCCGGAAAGGUGGCCGGAAGCUUCAAAAGCGAGGCGCAAGGAAAGCAGCCCGAAAGCGACGCGCCCUCGAGGCGUUUCUCUCUCUUUUCCCCCUGUCCUCCGCCCCGCCUGACCGCCCCUUCGGUUCCAGGUCAGCGUCAGGCAGGCAGCCAUCCGGCUGCUCUCGACGUCACUGCUGCGAUUCGUCGCCCGAUCUAAUAAAAACACGCACCGCCUCCCCCGUCUGGAGUCUGGACCAUUGCAAUGCAACGCCGUCGGCGGCGUCCUCAGGUCCACGGUGACACUGCCGUGCCCCGAUCGCCUAUCCACCCACCAACUGUUGGCUCCGGCCUGCUCUGAGCUUCGCACCCAGUUCCCCGUGCUGACUGCGCUGAUGCCGUGUCGUUAGGUCCAACCUACAGUACAGUACGCCCGGCGUCAUCAAUUGGGGGCAGGCAAAGGAAGCCGUCGGGACAGACUGAUCUGAAUCUGACAGACAGAGAUGCAUGAACCUGCAGGUUCAGGUCGGCCUCGCGCCUGGUUCAGUGCACGCGAGGACCCCAUACCAUAACAAACCAUUUGAGGGGGGCUUCUCGGACGUGUCAAACUAACCUCUGCACGACCACCGAGUUGGUUCCGUUCUCGGAUGUGGCAGCCUAAUUUCCGAUGAAGACUAAUCGUAGAUUAAAGAUUUGUUUUCGGUAUGCGCUGGGCGUGGUCAGGUCACGUCACGGCCGAGCUGUAACCUUCGUGCGCGCCUGCCUCUCGUAGCCGUUUGAAUUUGAUCUGCCCGUGGCACGCCACUGCGUAUCAAUCCUUAACUAACAAUCGGGUGGUUGCUACCGACAGGAAGUCUCUUGCGAUCGGCAACGGCAAAGCCAAAACCAUCGGUAGUUUAGCGGGCAGACGUAGCACAGCCAGCUGCGCCUGAAAAAACAAACCCCGCCUUGUCGCGUGCCGCGCCAUGGAUUCGCAGCACGCUGUCUCCCCUGCCGGCCGCGGCGACGGCACGCUGGCAAUGGCAGCGGCACCCCCGCCGGGUUUCCGGCGGGGCGCAGGGGCAUCCCGUGUGCGCGUGCCAACUGCCGGACCGGACACACACACGGCUGGCUGGUCGAUCCGAUGCGCAGUGAGCACGCUGGUCUCGUGUCUCGUCGUCUCCACCGCUCGCUCCGCUGCUACUGCAAGAAUACUAAUAUAUAUUCCCGCGAGGCUGCGAGUUGAACUUGCUGCAAAUUGGCAGCGGGUCGGGUGGGAUCCGGUGCGGUGGACGUGACAUUUUCCUGGAGAUCCUGAUGAGACUAGCUGUCCCCUCCACACCCACCGCGCGGUCGCGGAGGGCAGGGCACAGCGGUGCAGUGCAGGUGGCAGGACGCAUUAUUCUUUGCGCGCGCCGGCUUCUCGGAUUCUUCUCCUCCCUCGACGUCUCGGCCCGUCGGCCGGCGCCAUGUGUGCUUGCUGACUGCGCAUGUUGCCGUUGUUUUACUUAUCCUGCGGUGCCGCGAUGGCGCUGGAUCGCGAGCUUUCCAACUGCGUGCGUGUGGGGGGCUGUCGCUUCUCCGUGUUCCUGGUGCUGUCCUCUGAAUCCGGAUCCGUAGUGGCAGUACACGAGGCUGCGUUGCUGUCGACACAUCGAGCAACAACACAUCAGCAAGUUGAGCACCGCCGCCCCCCGCCGGUGACGUUUCGGUCGCGCUGUCAAUUUUGUCUCCUGAUCGGUAGCGACGGGUGGUCUGGCCUGCAACUUGCGCUGCGUGCCCUUCCUUGCUGCUGACCGCCAACACUGCUCUCCGAGCUGUGAGGAUGAUGAAAAAACAGGGCAAAAGACAGCAGCCUGCUCCCUGCUCCGAUUCGGAAUCGUGUGUUGCGUGUGGGAUAAAAGAAUCAGAAUCCAGCUGAUAUGGCUAAGAGACAAUCAUAAUUAGUUAGAAUUCCGAGUUUCUUGCAGGAUCUGUUAGCUACGGGAUAAACUCGAAAACCGAUAUGUAAUGGGUCCAGACCUUCCCCUUUAUAUAGAAGAAAGGCUAUACAAUCGAUCAAAUCAAAUCUAAUUAUCGUUUACCGUAUGCAUUAUGAGUAACUCUAGUUUAACAUUAGUUUAUUCUCCUUCCACCUCAAAUCUUCACAUCUCUUCGUUUCUACGUCGACUAGAGGCGUCUUGGGUGGCCUGCCGACAUCAAGACAUGCCCUAGGAUCUCUCCUCCCCGACGGGGUCCCUCCCGGGAGGCGAGAUCCAGGUCUGUUGCGAAUAUGUGUGGUGUAUAUGGCCUAUAAGUUAAACUAAUGAUCGAUAAAAUGUGUCUAUGUGUUAAAUUGGCCUAUGCGAAUAUAACUGUGGGUUAAACUUUUUAACAUGUGUGUGAAAUGUGAAUUGAUGAGUUAUGUUAAUUUGGUGGUACAUUGAUGUAGUUUGUGAAACUAUUAGUAUAGUUACUAUUUUCUAUCGUUAAAUUAGUUUGAAAUUAACUGAAAUUGAUUAUUAUAUACAUAUUGUUUUUUCUGCUCUGUCUCGCAAGCUAAACGAGCCGAGUCGAGCCAGCUCAUUAGCUUAACGAGCCAGCUUGAACUCGGACGAGCCGAGCCGAGAUGGCUCCAUAUAUAUGGCCAAUGGAAACUAUCUGACUUCUAUUGGCUACUAACAGUGUUGAUAAAAAGUUUAAAAACUAGUUAAGUUUCAUUAGCCGAUAAAAGCAAGAUCUAAUUUUUGGCAGUCGGGCAACAACCAACCACUAGUACAUAGAAGCUAUAUACAAGCAGAUGUGAAAACAUUUGUACAGGCAUUUUUCAGAACUAUUGCCGUCGCUAGGGAUCGGUACAAAAAAUUAUUUAUAUAGAUGGGUGUCGGGUACCAUAAUUAGGGGUACCCCCAACACUCCUAAUCACGGCUGGUAAUCACCAUCAGCACAAGCUGCAGAGACUGAUGGGCGCAAUUCAGGUCAAGGCCUCGUCUGCUCAAGGGACGCGAUCUCGCCCCGCCCGAGCCCAGCCUCGGGCGGGAACAGUAGUCUCAGACGAAUUCUCGCCUCGCCCGAGGGCCUCUUCAAGCAACGGGCGCACCCUCGACUCGCCCGAAGCCCAGCUCGGGCAGGCUUUGUUGUGAAGCAACCUUGGCCAAAUCGCCUCACCAACCGACUGUAUCACAGGCGCAUUCAAUGCGAGGAUCGCCUGACACCUUAUCCUGACACACGUUCCUCAGUCGGCAGGGCCAAAGUGACCGCAGUCACUUCGCCCUUCCACUGACCGACCUGACAGGAAAACAGCGCCGCUCGCCCCUCUCCGACUGCUGUGCCAACCGCCAGGGCAAGGCUGACAACAGCUAAGUCCAGCCUCAGGCGCAACAGGAAGCUCCGCCUCGCCCGACCUUGGGCCUCGGCCUCAGGAGGGAGUCUCCGCCUCGCCCGACCCCAGGGCUCGGCCUCCGCUUCGGCCUCGAAAGGUGGUCUCCGCCUCGCCCGGCCCCAGGGCUCGGCCUCGACCUUGGCCUCAAGAGGAGUCUCCGUCUCGCUCGACCUUGGGCUCGGACCGACCGCGCCACAGGGGAUACAUCAUUACCCUACCCCUAGCUAGCUCAGGCUACGGGGGAACAAGACCGGCGUCCCAUCCAGGCUCGUCCCGAUAACAAGUAAUGAUGGCUCCCCGCGUGCGUCUAUGACGACGGCGGUUCCCAGCUCCCUACGGAAGCAAGGAGACGUCAGCAAGAUCCCAGCAGCUCCGACAGCUGUGCUUCUACAGGGCUCAAGCGCUCCUCCGACGGCCACAACACCGCGUACACAGGGCUCUAGCACCUCUCCGAUAGCCACGUUGGCAUGUACAUAGGGCUCUGGCACCUCUCUGCCGGACACGUUAGCGCAUAGCUACACCCCCGUUGUACACCUGGACCCUCUCCUUGCAUCUAUAAAAGGAAGGUCCAGGGCCCUCAUGCGAGAGGGUCGUCGUGCAGGAGGAUAGGCUGACGAACAGGCUCGCUCUCUCUCCCUCGCGAACGCUUGUAACCCCUACUGCAAGCGCACCCCCUGGCGCAGGAUAACACGAGCCGCGUUCUUCCACCCUUAUGUUCCAUCUCGCGCCAACCCAUCUGGGCUGGGACACGCAGCGACAAUUUUACUCGUCGGUCCAGGGACCCCCCGGGGUCGAAACGCCGACAGUUGGCGCGCCGGGUAGGGGCCUGCUGCGUGUUGGCGAACAACUUCUCGUUGAGCUCCAGAUGGGUAGUCUCCAGCCCUUCAGCCUGGGAUGCUGCUCCGUUUCGGGAGUCUCGAGUUCAGACGGCAGCUACGACAUGGUACUCCUUCCUCCGUAGCGCGACAGCGACAACGACGGCCAUCAGCUCGCCCGACGGCGGCGAACUCGACGACGUCUUCCCCCCGUGGCAGAAGAACAGCAUCCGGGUUUGUCCCGUCGCCUUCCUCGCCGCAGGAGGAGGAGGCGGGGCAACCAUGGCCAGGCAGGAGGCGACACCUCGCGGCUAUCGAGCGAGUCGAUGACGCCGGCACCCCAGCGGGGGGCAUGUCGGGCGUUGACCUCGUGCCUGAGACGACGGCGAGUGUCGUUUCCCCGCAAUGUGCCAACCCCAAGCGGACAGAUGACGCCAGCACACUCACGAAGGACUUGCUGGGCGUUAGCCUCGUACCUGAGAUAACGGUGCAGUCCGUCCCUGACGUGACUUCGUCACCGUCCAUCGAUCGAGAGGUACCGUCCUGUCGGCGUUUCGACCCCGGGGGGUCCCUGGACCGACGAGUAAAAUUAUCACUGCGUGCCCCAGCCCAGAUGGGUUGGCGCGAGAUGGAACACAAGGGGGAAAAACCGCGGCUCGUGUUAUCCUGCGCCAGAGUGGGUGCGCUUGCAGUAGGGGUUACAAGCGUUCGCGUGGGAGAGAGAGAGCCUGUUCGUCAACCCGUCCUCCCGCGCGACCACCCUUCGUAUGAGGGCCCUGUCCCUUCCUUUUAUAGAUGCAAGGAGAGGGUCCAAGUGUACAAUGGGGGUGUAGCAAUAUGCUAACGUGUCCGGCAGAGAGGAGCCAGAGCCCUAUUGAUAGUAGACGCGGCCCGAUCUUCCGUGAGAUACGAUAAUUUGAUUGAGUGGAGAUCUCGACGUUGAUGAUCCAAGGCUCCGAGCAAACGGUUCCUCGCAAUCACUACACCACGGCUCCGUUGGUUAUCACCCGUGACACACGAAUGACCUCGCCACGAAGGCUUAUCCCUGCAAGCGCAAUUAAGAACACAAGCAAGAACAGGAAAGAAACACAACCAAAAUUGUAUUGAUUACGGGAGGGGGGUCUCACAAGCUGAUGACGGCGACACUGUUCGAUGAUAGAAUUGAUCCAAGCAAAACCCAAACCUAAAUGUGGCGGCUGCUGAAUAAAUAGAGUAUUAGGGCGUGCAUAGCCCUGGACUCGCCCCUAAUGGGCUCCGACGCGAUACACGGCCCAACGGCCCAACAGACGGUGUCGUAGCACCAAAACAGAAUCUGAACGCUGACUUGUUUCGACGAUUCCCGUUGACUCCGGAUGAAUUUUAGGGUGGAACCAGUUGGGUUGGUUAGAUAAUCUCGUUAUCUUUCCAACCAUAUCCAGUCCGUCGCAAUCGGAGUCCGGAUGCAUCUUGGGCAUCCAUUUUAGUGCAGACUGGUCCUGGAACCCGAGAUAGAGUCGCAGCCGACUCGGACUUGAUCUCCUUCCUGUUGUGGACGCCCUUGCUCCUCCUCCUCAACACCUUGGCCUUUCCCAAGUCCUUGCUGGUCCUCUCCAAGGUACCUAAUCAUCAAAACAUCCAUGGCCCCAAGCGUAAGCUCUGAAACACAAUUGACUAGGGUAGAACGUACCUAGAGAUUUAGCUGUCGUGCACGAGAUCGUGUUAUCGGUCCAUUCAUUGUAUAUAUAGAAGUGAUGUCCUCAUCAUCCUCCUCCUCUUGAAUUGGAGUCGUCCUCGACUCGGCCUCAUCUUCGUCACCCAUAUAUGGCUUCAAAUCUGAAAUGUUAAAGGUGGAACUAACCCCAAAAUCUGGUGGCAACUCAAGUGUAUAUGCAUUAUCAUUAAUUUUUGCAAGAACUUUAUAAGGACCUGCAGCUCGUGGCAUAAGUUUAGACUUUCUCAAAUCAGGAAACCUAUCCUUUCUCAAAUGAACCCACACCAAGUCACCAGGUUCCAAUUUCAUUUCCUUCCUACCUUUAUUAGCAGCAAUACGAUACUUUUCAUUCAUCUUUUCAAUUUGCAACUUAGUUGUUUCAUGUAACUUAAGAAUAAAUUCAGAACGUUGUGUAGCAUCCAAGUUCACUAUUUUAGAAGGUGGUAAAGGUAGCAAAUCAAUUGGGGCACGAGGAUUAAAACCAUAUACUACCAUAAAUGGACUAAGCUUGGUUGUGGAAUGAAUCGAUCUGUUAUAAGCAAACUCAAUAUGUGGCAAACAUUCCUCCCACAACCUCAAAUUAUCCUUCAAAAUAGCCCGCAAUAUGGUAGAUAAAGUGCGAUUAACAACCUCUGUUUGCCCGUCAGUUUGGGGAUGACAAGUAGUAGAAAACAACAACUUUGUUCCCAAUUUAAACCACAAAGUUCUCCAAAAAUGACUUAAAAAUUUAGCAUCCCUAUCAGAAACAAUAGUAUUUGGCACACCAUGCAAACACACAAUCUCAGUGAAGAACAAAUCAGCAAUAUGUGAAGCAUUAUCAGUUUUGUGACAGGGUAUAAAAUGUGCCAUCUUUGAAAAACGAUCGACAAUGACAAAAACACUAUCACUCCCCCUCUUUGUUCUAGGCAAUCCCAAAACAAAAUCCAUAGAAAUAUCCUCCCAAGGUGCACGAGGAACAGGAAGAGGCAAAUAAAGACCAUGGGGGUUAAGUCGGGACUUAGCUUUGUUGCACGUGGUGCAACGAGAGACGUAGCGCUCAACAUCACGCCGCAUCCGAGGCCAAUAGAAAUGAGUAAACAACACAUCCUCGGUCUUCUUAACACCAAAAUGUCCCAUCAAGCCACCUCCAUGUGCUUCCUGCAAGAGUAGAAGACGAACAGAGCUAGCUGGAACACACAACUUGUUAGCACGGUAGAGAAGGCCUUCACGCAACAUAAAUUUUUGCCACGUUCUUCCCUCUCUGCAAUUUUGAAAAGCAUCUUUGAAGUCCAAAUCAGCAGCAUAUAAUUCCUUUAUAGUCUCCAAACCAAAUAUUUUAUGAUUAAGUUGGGACAUCAUAGUAUAACGUCUAGAUAAAGCAUCAACAAUUACAUUAUCCUUUCCUUUUUAUGCUUAAUAAUGUAAGGAAAUGAUUCUAUGAAUUCAAUCCAUUUAGCAUGUCGUUUGUUUAGAUUAGAUUGUCCCUUAAGAUACUUCAAAGAUUCAUGAUCCAAAUGUAUGACAAAUUCUUUAGACCAUAGAUAAUGUUGCCAAGUUUGUAAAACUCGUACUAAAGCAUAUAAUUCUUUGUCAUAUGUAGAAUAAUUCAGAGUUGGACCAUUCAAUUUUUCACUAAAGAAAGCAACAGGUUUACCUCCUUGAAU